rnacentral:rRNA from 1 species
AAGCUAGAGUAGGUGAGAGGGAAGUAGAAUUCCAGGUGUAGCGGUGAAAUGCGUAGAGAUCUGGAGGAAUACCGAUGGCGAAGGCAGCUUCCUGGCAUCAUACUGACACUGAGGCUCGAAAGCGUGGGUAGCAAACAGGAUUAGAUACCCUGGUAGUCCACGCCGUAAACGAUGUCUACUAGUCGUUGGGUCCCUNGAGGACUUAGUGACGCAGCUAACGCAAUAAGUAGACCGCCUGGGGAGUACGGCCGCAAGGUUAAAACUCAAAUGAAUUGACGGGGGCCCGCACNAGCGGUGGAGCAUGUGGUUUAAUUCGAUGCAACGCGAAGAACCUUACCUGGUCUUGACAUACACAGAAUCUUGUAGAGAUACGAGAGUGCCUUCGGGAAUUGUGAUACAGGUGCUGCAUGGCUGUCGUCAGCUCGUGUCGUGAGAUGUUGGGUUAAGUCCCGCAACGAGCGCAACCCUUGUCCUUAGUUACCAGCGGGUUAAGCCGGGAACUCUAAGGAUACUGCCAGUGACAAACUGGAGGAAGGCGGGGACGACGUCAAGUCAUCAUGGCCCUUACGACCAGGGCUACACACNUGCUACAAUGGUAGGUACAGAGGGCAGCUACACAGCGAUGUGAUGCGAAUCUCAAAAAGCCUAUCGUAGUCCAGAUUGGAGUCUGCAACUCGACUCCAUGAAGUAGGAAUCGCUAGUAAUCGCGGAUCAGAAUGCCGCGGUGAAUACGUUCCCGGGCCUUGUACACACCGCCCGUCACACCAUGGGAGUUGAUUGCACCAGAAGUGGUUAGCCGA